GCAAACUGGAUAGCUCAGUUGGUUAGAGCGUGGUGCUAAUAAUGCCAAGGUUGCAGGUUCAGUCUCCAGACAGCUGCA